UCGCCAGCAUCAGGAGCAGCGAUGUGGCUCUCCGUCCUGUCACUGGUAUGGAUAACAUGCUUUGUUGAUCUGAGCGAUGGAGAUCCUGUCACGCAAUGGGAGCCCUACCUCACACAGACGGAGGGAGAACAAGUCACUUUAAACUGCACCUACAAUGGAAACCCUUAUUCCGUGUUUUGGUACCGCCAGUAUCCAGGCAGACAGCCCGAGUUUAUCAUCUGGAGUUACACGAGUAGUGGUGUUGAAACGAAGGCUAAUUUUGCUCAGUUCCGGUUUUCUGCUGCCCUCCAACACAUAGACAAGUUGAACCAAUUGACCAUCUCGGACGUCCUACUGUCUGACACUGCGAUAUAUUACUGUGCAAUGAGACUCACAGUGAUGGGAACGAACUGA